rnacentral:rRNA from 1 species
CUCGAAUCAGGUAGGGAUACCCGCUGAACUUAA